rnacentral:lncRNA from 1 species
UAAUUAAAUAUAAUUAGGAUUAAUAAUGAGGGCUUAAAUUAAUAGUUCUUAUUGGGCUUAACUAAAUAAAUCUCAUUGGACUUAAUCAACUAAAUAGUAAGAGCCCAAUUAAUAAAAAUAAUAAGAGCCCAAAUGAAAGCCCAAAACUAAACUAAUAAGCUUCAGCCGAAAAUUGGCCCAACAAAACAAGUCAGGCCCAAAAAAAAAAAAAGCCCAAACGCUCUCUUUUCUCCCCCAACUCACGAUUUCCCUUCUUUUCAAAAUCAGAAACACUUCUCUCUCUCUUCCUCUCUCUCGCUCCGCCUUCGUCGAGGCUUCUGCUGCCGCCGCGGUCUCCUGCAGUCCGGCGACCUGCUGCCGGCGUGGCCGGCGUUCACCUGCCUCCUCAGACCUCCCCCUCUCUCGAUUUGCCUCUCAAUCGAAAUCCCCAAAUGAAGAAUGGAGUAAAAGCCCUAGCGUUCCAAAAAUCAGAAAUCGCCUCUCUCUGUUCGACGCCGC